rnacentral:rRNA from 1 species
UGGGGAAUAUUGGACAAUGGCGCAAGCCUGAUCCAGCCAUGCCGCGUGAGUGAUGAAGGCCUUAGGGUUUGUAAAGCUCUUUCGCCGANCGAAGAUAAUGACGGUAGUCGGAGAAGAAGCCCCGGCUAACUUCGUGCCAGCAGCCGCGGUAAUACGAAGGGGGCUAGCGUUGUUCGGAAUCACUGGGCGUAAAGCGCACGUAGGCGGAUUGUUAAGUCAGGGGUGAAAGCCUGGAGCUCAACUCCAGAACUGCCCUUGAUACUGGCAAUCUCGAGUCCGGAAGAGGUAAGUGGAACUGCGAGUGUAGAGGUGAAAUUCGUAGAUAUUCGCAAGAACACCAGUGGCGAAGGCGGCUUACUGGUCCAGUACUGACGCUGAGGUGCGAAAGCGUGGGGAGNAAACAGGAUUAGAUACCCUGGUAGUCCACGCCGUAAACGAUGGAGCUAGCCGUUGGCGAGCAUGCUCGUCAGUGGCGCAGCUAACGCAUUAAGCCUCCCGCCUGGGGAGUACGGUCGCAAGAUUAAAACUUAAAUGAAUUGACGGGGUCAUAGCUGUUUCCU